AUUUAAGUUCAUAAAUGGCCGUAUGACGAAACUGAGCAACCAUAUGGCCAUUCCGACUGAACUCACCCUUUCCUGUGGAGAAACAGCACAGCAGCAGUGCUCUCAGUCUCAGGAUGGAGGUGCCAUAUAUGAGCUCACCAGCGUGGUGUCACAUUUGGGCAGAAUGUUUGGUCACUACAUCAGUGACAUCAUCGAAGGGUCUGCUGAUGGCUGGCUCUGCCUAAAUGACAGCUAUGCCAGCAGACUGAGUGAACAGGAGAUUCUGCAGAAAAGAGCAAAGAAAUCCUACCUGCUCUUCUACGUGCAAAGAGCACCUCAGGAUCCCCCCUGCUGAAGUGAUGACAACCUGCAGCACUGAGGGGACAUUGCUUCGCCGUGCAGAGGCCGAAGAAAAAGAAGAAGAAGAAAAGCAGGAUCGACGCGGAACACCCUGCCCCGGGCCGGGAAUGUUCCUCCCGCUCCACCUGCGGACAUGAGGGCGCGUCGGGCGCCUUCUCUCCACCCGGACCUGCAGCUCCACCCGGAGUGGACGCCACAGAGGAGCCGGCGUGCGAGGACCAGGCAGUCAGGUACCGUGGGAGGCAGCGGAUAUUUAACCCGUGAGGCCGUGUAAGCUGUGUAGGAUUUAUUAGUCUGACUGAAUUUUUCAAAAGUUAAUUUUUUAAAACU
ensembl:lncRNA